rnacentral:rRNA from 1 species
GAGCACGUAGGUGGGUUUGUAAGUCAGAUGUGAAAGCCUUCUGUUCAACGGAAGAAUUGCAUCUGAAACUGCUAAUCUUGAGUAUAGGAGGGGAGAAUGGAACUUCUGGUGGAGCGGUGAAAUGCGUAGAUAUCAGAAGGAACGCCGGCGGCGAAAGCGAUUCUCUGGCCUAUUACUGACACUCAGUGUGCGAAAGCUAGGGGAGCAAACGGGAUUAGAUACCCCGGUAGUCCUAGCCGUAAACGAUGGGCACUAAGUAGAGGGAAUUACCGAUGUUCUCUCUGCCGUAGCUAACGCAUUAAGUGCCCCGCCUGGGGAGUACGGCCGCAAGGCUAAAACUCAAAAGAAUUGACGGGGGCUCGCACAAGCGGUGGAGCAUGUGGCUUAAUUCGAUGCAACGCGAAAAACCUUACCGGGGCUUGACAUGAUAGAAGUAGGAACCUGAAAGGGGGACGAACGGUAUCCAGUCCGUAGCUAUUACAGGUGUUGCAUGGCUGUCGUCAGCUCGUGUCGUGAGACGUUGGGUUAAGUCCCCUAACGAGCGAAACCCUUGUUUUUAGUUACCAGCGGGUUAUGCCGGGUACUCUAGAAAGACUGCCGUCGUCAAGACGGAGGAAGGUGGGGAUGACGUCAAGUCAUCAUGGCCCUUAUGCCCCGGGCUGCACACGUGCUACAAUGGUCGGUACAAACGGAAGCGAAGCCGAGAGGUGAAGCGAAUCC